GAUGAACGCUGGCGGCGUGCCUAAUACAUGCAAGUCGAGCGAAUGACGAGGAGCUUGCUCCUCUGAUUUAGCGGCGGACGGGUGAGUAACACGUGGGUAACCUGCCUGUAAGACGGGGAUAACUCCGGGAAACCGGAGCUAAUACCGGAUGAUAACGAGAAGCGCCUGCUUCUUUUUUGAAAGUCGGUUUCGGCUGACGCUUACAGAUGGGCCCGCGGCGGAUUAGCGAGUUGGUGAGGUAAAGGCUCACCAAGGAGACGAUGCGUAGCCGAACUGGAGGGGUGAGCGGCCACACUGGGACUGAGACACGGCCCAGACUCCUACGGGAGGUAGCAGUAGGGAAUCUUCGGCAAUGGACGAAAGUCGGACCGAGCAACGCCGCGUGAGCGAUGAAGGCCUUCGGGUCGUAAAGCUCUGUUGUCAGAGAAGAACAAGUACCGGAGUAACUGCCGGUACCUUGACGGUACCUGACCAGAAAGCCACGGCUAACUACGUGCCAGCAGCCGCCGUAAAAC
rnacentral:rRNA from 1 species